rnacentral:rRNA from 1 species
AAGUGUCAAGUCUUAAAUUACCAACCCUUAGCUCACUUAAUAAGUUAAGGCUAGAAAAAAACAAAAAUCAAAGAUUAAAGCAGUAUUAAAUGAAACCCCAUUUAUAUACCGAUAAUGCCGAUAUAUAUACCCUUUCUUGUCCAAUUACGUGCCAGCUGUCGCGGUUUUUCGUAAGAGACUAGUGUUAUUCAUCUUAAUUAGGUUAAAAGGGUACUAAAACGGUUCCUAAGCAUAAAAAGACUAGAGUUAUAUAGAAGAAGGUAGUACCCUAAGUGUAGAGAUUAUAUUUGGUCAUACUCAAGGGACUAAGAAAAGGCGUAGGCAACCUUAAAAGAAAUAACUGACGUUGAAGGACGAAGGCAUAGGUCACGAAUUGGAUUAGAUUCCCAAGUAGUCUAGGCAGUCAAUUGAUGAAUGCCAUAUGGUUACGAUAAAAAACUCCGUCCAUAAAGUGAAAUGUGUAAGCAUCCCCCCCCCGGAGUAAUGUGCAACGCAGAACUAAAA